rnacentral:lncRNA from 1 species
UCAUGUUAAAAAUAAGUUGAGGAUUUACACAUGUAGAGUUAAAAGUAUCCACAAGUCUAUUUGUAUCUGGCUAUGGGAAACUGUUUUAACAUUCAUUCGCUAUUUAAUAUAUCUUGAUUGAUAUUAGAUAUAUUUACUAGCUAUACAAGACAUCUGAAUUCAUAAAGAAAUCUUUAAAAUAGUACAUCAGAUAUAAAUUCGUUAACUCAGUGAUUAUAUAUCUGAAUUCUUAUAAAAACAUCUCAUGUAUAGUACAUGUUAUAUGUUAUAGGUUAUGUUUAUUUAGACAUCUGAAUUAAUAUGUUUUAAGAUAUGCCUUACAGGAUUUUCGAAUAUAUUAUAUUAUUGUAAUUCAAGUAUAUGAUAUAUUGUAGAUGUCUUAAAUAGCAAAUAAGUCCGGAAACGGCUUAACUUGUCACAUAUAACACCCUUUGAUAUUAAGAUUAAAGAAUAUAACAAAUAAAAAUAAAAACUUUUUGUCAUUCUACAAUAACAUGGUGAUGUUUCAUCAACCGAGAUAAACUAAGCAAACAGAAAAUGUUCUAUCAUUUUAAAAUAAAUAGCUGUACCUUCAGCUCAUGGUCAUAAUAUGACCGU